UACAGAGGGGGCAAGCGUUGUUCGGAAUUACUGGGCGUAAAGGGCGCGUAGGCGGCCUUCUAAGUCGAACGUGAAAUCCCUGGGCUCAACCCAGGAACUGCGUCCGAUACUGGAAGGCUUGAAUCCGGGAGAGGGAUGCGGAAUUCCAGGUGUAGCGGUGAAAUGCGUAGAUAUCGUAAGGAAGACCAGUGGCGAAGGCGGGUCUCUGGACAGUUCCUGACGCUGAGGCACGAAGGUCAGGGGAGCAAACGGG
rnacentral:rRNA from 1 species